rnacentral:tRNA from 1 species
AGCUCCGUGGCCUAAUGGAUAAGGCAUCUGACUUCGGAUCAGAAGAUUGCGGGUUCGAGUCCCGUCGGGGUCG